GACGAACGCUGGCGGCGUGCUUAACACAUGCAAGUCGAACGGAAAGGCCCUGCUUUUGUUGGGUGCUCGAGUGGCGAACGGGUGAGUAACACGUGAGUAACCUGCCCUUGACUUUGGGAUAACAUCAGGAAACUGGGGCUAAUACCGGAUAGGAGCUCUUGCUGCAUGGUGUGGGUUGGAGAGUGUCGGCGGUUGGGGAUGGACUCGCGGCUUAUCAGCUUGUUGGUGGGGUAGUGGCUUACCAAGGCUGUGACGGGUAGCCGGCCUGAGAGGGUGACCGGCCACAUUGGGACUGAGAUACGGCCCAGAAUCCUACGGGAGGCAGCAGUGGGGAAUAUUGCACAAUGGGCGGAAGCCUGAUGCAGCAACGCCGCGUGCGGGAUGCCGGCCUUCGGGUUAUAAACCGCUUUCGCCUGUGACGAAGCGUGAGUGACGGUAAUGGGUCAAGAAGCACCGGCUAACUACGUG
rnacentral:rRNA from 1 species